AUCAUUUUUAUGGUCCCUUCAUUUUUUCAUCUUCUGUGUUCUGAAUAAAUAAUCGUUGUAGAUACUACCGUCUUCUAAUUCCAUUGCUACUAAAAAAACUCAGUUGCUGAUCGAUAACCAAUUGCUCCCGUGUCUUCGCCAACUCCUUGAGCGUGAAUACACAAGACUCAUAUUUAAAGAAGCUAGUUGGAUAAUCGCAUUUAUCACAUCUGGGACUCCAGCUCAAGUACAGGCUGUGAUCGAUGCCGACAUUAUUCCUUCUCUUGUUAAAGUUGUCCAUAAUGCUGAGUUUGAGGUGAAGAAGGAGGCUGCCUGCGCGAUCUUCAAUGUCACUUGUAUAGGAUCUGAUGACAAUAUCAGGGUCCUUGCGGCUGAGGGUUGCAUUGAGGCACUAUGUGAACUCUUGACCUGUCCAGAACCAAAGCUUGUGGCAAUUUGUCUGGGGGGGCUGCUGAUCAUUUUGAAUGUUGGAGAAGCUGACAAGGAUGAGAAAGGCAAUGUUUUUGCUCAAAGGCUUGAGGAAUGUGGAGGAUUGGAAAAGAUUGAAACAUUGCAACUUCAUGAGAACAGUGACAUUCAUACGAGAGCUCUGUGGAUUUCGGAUAUCUUUCGACCAGAUAAUGAGUUGGAAGAUACGAAUAUGAGCGUUAGCUAGAUUGAUUUUUCAUCAUCAUCAUCAUCAUCGCAUAACAUGCGCUGAGAAAACACAAUUGUAGAAUAUGUCUUGCAUUGUGGUUUAUCACAUUCUUGAUUCAGCUAAAAACAUUAUAAUUGAAAUCUAACUGAUCUAUCUGGUUCACUAGAUAGUAUUAGAUUAGAUUAAGAAACUCAAAUAAAAUAGAUGUUAUAAUAUCUAGUCUGUAUAAUAUGUUA